rnacentral:tRNA from 1 species
CCGAUCUUAGCUCAGUUGGAAGAGCGCCUGACUGUAGAUAAUUGUAAUCAGGAUGUCGCUAGUUCGAAUCUGGCAGAUCGGA